rnacentral:lncRNA from 1 species
UCAGAUGGAAGGGGGGAGGGGCAGAACUCUAAGGCCUGGAGGACUAAGCUCAUGACCUAGAGAGUUCUUAACGUCUGGCCUAAGAAUUUAGCGGUUUUUUUUAACUCCUCCCAACGGCGAGCGUCGGUGGGCCUCAGAGGCGGAUCCUGAUACGCACCGUCCCCUCCUCUUCCUCCUCCAGCACACUUCCUCCCGGACUGUGGGGACUUCUCGGGUUUGGCUCGCUGAUCUGCCUGUAUUUUGUGUGACUUUGUUUUAAUCAACAAAAAUUCCUUUACAGAUUUUCCUUCCAAAUAAAAAAACAGGAUUGAAAGAGAAGCCAUUACCAAUUCCCCUCUGUUUUCUUUUUUCUUAUACUAAAAGAGGAAUUGGGAACGAGGCUUGCGCUUGGCUUAGGCAUUGCCUGUGACAGCCUCACGCUUCAAGGCCUUUUCCCUCCUCGUCCACUUUCCUGAGGCUUUAAAUAGCCGUUUCGUGAAGGCCUCAGUCUUUUCUUCUCCAUGGGCUCCUCUCGCCGCUGGGAUGCUGCCUGGGCUCUGUGCCGUGGCCGCCGGGCCCGCGCUCGAGAUUCCGCCCCCGGCUGACGCUCGCUGGGUUGAUCGGGAAGGGAAAACGUGAGGAGUAGAACGAGGAGCUUUUCGGCAGCGUAGGCCUCUGGAGCCCGGCUUUCCCCCCCCACGCUCAGUUACCCCCCGGACCGUGCAAGUGACUAGACCGCAGGACUUGGGACGGACGCACGCACGCAACAGCGGGCACGCGUAGGUGGGAAACAAGGCACAUGACCAGGUCCUCCAUGGGGCCCAAACAUCAUCUUUAUUACUAGGUAUGAAUAAAGUUUAACUUGGUCAUUAUAGUUUUAUAACAUUUUUAUGGCAAGAAAAUUGGUCAGAGGCUGGG